GGCGAGGUGGUGAAAUUGGUAGACACGCUACUUUGAGGUGGUAGUGGGCGAAAGCCUGUGAGAGUUCGAAUCUCUUCUUCGUCAC
rnacentral:tRNA from 1 species